rnacentral:tRNA from 1 species
AUUUAUGUAGUUUAACAUCAACUCAAAACCCUUCAUUUUCAAUGAAGAGACGGGAGACCAACAACAACCUCCCCAUAAAUA